GAUGAAGAACGCAGCGAAACGCGAUAUGUAAUGUGAAUUGCAGAAUCCAGUGAAUCAUCGAAUCUUUGAACGCACAUUGCGCCCGCCAGCAUUCUGGCGGGCAUGCCUGUUCGAGCGUCAUUUCAACCCUCGACCUCCCCUUGGGGAGGUCGGCGUUGGGGACCGGCAGCACACCGCCGGCCCUGAAAUGGAGUGGCGGCCCGUCCGCGGCGACCUCUGCGCAGUAAUACAGCUCGCACCGGGACCCCGACGCGGCCACGCCGUAAAACACCCAACUUCUGAACGUUGACCUCGAAUCAGGUAGGACUACCCGCUGAACUUAAGCAUAUCAAUAAGCGGAGGA
rnacentral:misc_RNA from 1 species